CAGUAGCCGCGGGAAUACGAGGGGGGCAAGCGUUGUUCGGAAUUAUUGGGCGUAAAGGGUGCGUAGGCGGCUUGACAAGUCUUGUGUGAAAUCUAUGGGCUCAACCUGGGACCUGCAUUUGUGACUGUAUAGCUAGAGUACGGUAGAGGGGGAUGGAAUUCCGCGUGUAGCAGUGAAAUGCGUAGAUAUGCGGAAGAACACCGAUGGCGAAGGCAAUCCCUUGGACCUGUACUGACGCUCAUGCACGAAAGCGUGGGGAGCAAACAGGAUUAGAUACCCGAGUAGUCCUGUCUCUUAUACA
rnacentral:rRNA from 1 species